GUUUCUGUUAGCGAAUCAAGUUCAAGCUCCUCACAUAUCAUCAUCCAGGGUACAGUCAUAUGCUCAUGAGGAGAUCCCACGCAGGUGAAGGUGCUGCCCACCCAUGAUACCAGCAAGGUGCGUGCAAGUGGAUCCGGCCUUAACACCACUGGAGCGCCCACCUCUCUGCCAGUGAAGGUCACCAUUGAUGCCAAAGAUGCAGGACCCAGAGGGGAAGCCCAAGAAGCAGAUAUCUGUGACAGCCAUGAUGGGACCUACCUG